GAUGAACGCUGGCGGCGUGCCUAAUACAUGCAAGUCGAGCGAACGGACGAGAAGCUUGUUUCUCUGAUGUUAGCGGCGGACGGGUGAGUAACACGUGGAUAACCUACCUAUAAGACUGGGAUAACUUCGGGAAACCGUAGCUAAUACCGGAUAAUAUUUUGAACCGCAUGGUUCAAAAGUGAAAGACGGUAUUGCUGUCACUUAUAGAUGGAUCCGCGCUGCAUUAGCUAGUUGGUAAGGUAACGGCUUACCAAGGCAACGAUGCAUAGCCGACCUGAGAGGGUGAUCGGCCACACUGGAACUGAGACACGGUCCAGACUCCUACGGGAGGCAGCAGUAGGGAAUCUUCCGCAAUGGGCGAAAGCCUGACGGAGCAACGCCGCGUGAGUGAUGAAGGUCUUCGGAUCGGAAAACUCUGUUAUUAGGGAAGAACAUAUGUGUAAGUAACUGUGCACAUCUUGACGGUACCUAAUCAGAAAGCCACGGCUAACUACGUG
rnacentral:rRNA from 1 species